GUAGGGAAUCUUCGGCAAUGGGGGGAACCCUGACCGAGCAACGCCGCGUGAGUGAAGAAGGUUUUCGGAUCGUAAAGCUCUGUUGGUAGUAAAGAAUGGUGUAGAGAGGAGAAAGUUCUACACGUGACGGUAACUACCCAGAAAGGGACGGCUAACUACGUGCCAGCAGCCGCGGUAAUACGUAGGUCCCGAGCGUUGUCCGGAUUUAUUGGGCGUAAAGCGAGCGCAGGUGGUUUGGUAAGUCUGGUGUAAAAGGCUACUGCUUAACAGUAGUGUGCAUUGGAAACUGUUAGACUUGAGUGCAGGAGAGGUAUGUGGAAUUCCAUGUGUAGCGGUGAAAUGCGUAGAUAUAUGGAGGAACACCGGAGGCGAAAGCGGCAUACUGGCCUGUAACUGACACUGAGGCUCGAAAGCGUGGGGAGCAAACAGGA
rnacentral:rRNA from 1 species